UGGAUUGCUCCCAUUAGCUGCAUUGUUAGUUAUAGUAAGAUAACAGAUUAUUACAAACUAGAAUGCAAAAAAAACAAACCAUUUUGUCCCGCCUCUUAUAAGGGUUGUGAGCGAUAGGCAAAAUUCCAAAAAAAUAAAGUGCAGUUCCCCUUUUAAAGUUAUGAUAAAUAACAAAGGGCUUUUUUUUAUGCAGGACUUCAUUUUCUUUUGUGAUGCUGGGUCAGCCCUAAAGAUGACCUGAGAGACAUGUUUUAUAAGAUCCUGCAUGGCUUCAAGGACCAGGUCGGCCAAAAGAACUGGCAGCAGUUCUCUGAACAGUUCCCUCCUUUGUUCAAGGAGCGCUUGUCGGCAUUAUAUGGCGUUCAGCGCAAGUCCACAACAGACCUGUACGGUAACCAUAGGGGAGGGUCAC